rnacentral:rRNA from 1 species
AAUCAAGCUAAUAAGGGCACACAGUGAAUGCCUUGGCUCCAACAGGCGAUGAAGGACGUGACAAGCUGCGAUAAGCUUCGGGGAGCGGCACAUACGCUAUGAUCCGGAGAUUUCCGAAUGGGAUAACCUGCGUCGAUUAAUAUCGGCGCGUCUUGCCCUGAAUUCAUAAGGGCAAGGUCGCUAAACCCGGUGAAGUGAAACAUCUCAGUAACCGGAGGAAAAUAAAGAAAACAAUCGAUUCCGUCAGUAGUGGCGAGCGAAAGCGGAACAGUCCAAACCAGGGGCUUUGCUCCUGGGGUUGUAGGACCCCGAUGUGAGAUCAUGACGAUUAGGUGAAUUGCAUGGAAAGGCAAUCCCCAGAGGGUGAAAGGCCCGUAACUGAAAAUCCGAAAGACUCUAGGGGUAUCCUGAGUAGCACGGCACACGUGAAACGCCGUGUGAAUCCGCGGAGACCACUCCGUAAGACUAAAUACUCGUUGGAGACCGAUAGUGAACAAGUACCGCGAGGGAAAGGUGAAAAGAACCGCUGUGAGCGGAGUGAAAUAGAACCUGAAACCGUGUGCCUACAAGGUGUCAAAGCCUCUUCGGAGGUGAUGGCGUGCCUUUUGCUUAAUGAGUCUGCGAGUUAGUGUCGGUGGCAAGCUUAAGCUCUUCUGGAGCGAAGGCGCAGCGAAAGCGAGUCCGAACAGGGCUACUCAGUCGCCGGUACUAGACCCGAAGCGGAGGUGACCUACCCAUGGCCAGGCUGAAGCGUUGGUAACACAACGUGAAAGGCCGAACUGGUGAACCUUGAGAAGUUCUCGGAUGAGCUGUGGGUAGGAGUGAAAGGCUAAUCAAACCCCGUGAUAGCUGGUUCUCCCCGAAAUGCAUUGAGGUGCAGCGUCAUGUGCUUACGGAUGGGGGUAGAGCACUGAAUAAGCUAGGGGGCACACCAGCCUACCAAACUUAAUCAAACUCCGAAUACCGUCCGGUGGAGCAUGGCAGUGAGUCUACGGGGGAUAAGCUUCGUAGGCGAGAGGGAAACAUCCCAGAUCAGCAGCUAAAGUGCCUAAAUGCCGCUCAGUGGAAAGGAGGUGAAUCUACUUAGACAGUGAGGAUGUUGGCUUAGAGGCAGCCACCAUUUAAACAGUGCGUAAUAGCUGACUCAUCGAGUGGAUUCGCGCCGAAAAUGAUUGGCGAUCAAGCGGCAUACUGAAGCUCUGGAUGCGCCCGGAUUCGUCCGUGGCGCGUGGUAGGGGAGCGUUGUCAACGCGCUGAAGCUGGAUAGCGAUUGAAAGUGGAGUGUUGACAAGUGAGCAUGCAGACACAAGUAACGUUAAGGGUGGUGAAAUCCCACCCCGCCGUAAACCCAAGGUUUCCUGGGCCACGCCAUUCGUCCCAGGGUUAGUCGGGACCUAAGCCGAGGCAGAUAUGCGUAGGCGAUGGACAGCUGGUUAAUACUCCAGCACCACCGACAUUUAAGUGAGAGGGACGGCGUUGUGGAGAAGGCCUGCCGGUUGAAAGUGGCAGGGGCGCAAGCUGACGGAACGGCUACGGCCAAUCCGGAUCCUUUAAAGCAACGUCCAAGAAAAGCUCUCAUGUAUACUAAGGUGCCCGUACCGCAAACCGACACAGGUGGGUGAGUCGAAUAGACUAAGGCGCAAGAGUGAACCCUCGUUAAGGAACUCGGCAAUCUAGCCCCGUAACUUCGGAAGAAGGGGUGCCUGGCGAAAGCCAGGUCGCAGUGAAUGGGUCCAACCGACUGUUUAUCAAAAACACAGCAUUGUGCCAAGACGCAAGUCGAUGUAUACGAUGUGACACGUGACCAAUGCGGAAAGAUUAAGGCAAGCGGUUAGUCGUAAGGCGAAGCUGUGAACCUAAGUCCCCGUGAAUGUCGGCCGUAACUAUAACGGUCCUAAGGUAGCGAAAUUCCUUGUCGGGUAAGUUCCGACCUGCACGAAUCGUGUAACGAGUUGGACGCUGUCUCAACGAGGCGCUCAGUGAAACUGUAGUGGCGGUGAAGAUGCCGCCUACCCGUGGAAGGACGGAAAGACCCUAUGCACCUUAACUGUACUCUGUCACUGUUGUUUCGGUUUUCAUGCUCAGCGUAAGUGGUAGACUGAGAAGCUGCUCUCUAGGGGGUAGCAGAGUCGUCAAUGAGACACCACCCUUGGGGAUUGAAACAUCUAACAUCGACCCGUGAAUCCGGGCGAAGGACCAUGGCAGACGGUCAGUUUUACUGGGGCGGUAUCCUCCCAAAGAGUAACGGAGGAGCGCGAUGGUUGGUUCAACCUGGUUGGCAAUCAGGUGUUGAGUGCAUUGGCAUAAACCAGCCUAACUGUGAGGCCUACAAGCCGAGCAGAUACGAAAGUAGGUCAAAGUGAUCCGGCGCUUGAAAGUGGAAUCGGCGUCGCUCAACGGACAAAAGGUACGCUAGGGAUAACAGGCUGAUCUGACCCAAGAGUUCAUAUCGACGGUCAGGUUUGGCACCUCGAUGUCGGCUCGUCGCAUCCUGGGGCUGGAGAAGGUCCCAAGGGUCCGGCUGUUCGCCGGUUAAAGCGGCACGCGAGCUGGGUUCAGAACGUCGCGAGACAGUUCGGUCCUCUAUCCUCCAUGGGCGCAGGUAAAUUGCGGGGUUCAAACUCUAGUACGAGAGGACCGAGUUUGACGCACCUCUGGUGUUCCUGUUGUCACGUCAGUGGCAUCGCAGGGCAGCUAUGUGCGGAAGGGAUAAGCGCUGAAAGCAUCUAAGCGCCAAGCCCAUCCCAAGAUAAGUUUACCCUGAAGGAUCGUGGCAGACUACCACGUUGAUAGGCUGUGGGUAUAAGCACAGUAAUGUGUUCAGCUUAGCAGUACUAAUCAUCCGUUCGGCUUGAUUCU